rnacentral:lncRNA from 1 species
UUUAGCAUGUUUACUUUUCUUGAGAUAACAACUAAUUGCUUCUCUUUAGACUACAAGCUAGCAAUUUUCAUGAUAUGCAAGUUGCAAGCUAGCAAAUUUUUGCUUCCUUUCCAAUGUUUGAGCUAGCAAUUUUGCUUCCAUAACAAGUUAGCAUGUUUUGUAUUUUGAGAUAGGCAAGAUAGCACAUUUGCUUUUUUUU